rnacentral:rRNA from 1 species
AAUUUUGGACAAUGGGGGCAACCCUGAUCCAGCCAUCCCGCGUGUGUGAUGAAGGCCUUCGGGUUGUAAAGCACUUUUGACAGGGAAGAAAUGACAGGGGCUAAUACCUUCUGUAGAUGACGUUACCAGUAGAAUAAGCACCGGCUAACUACGUGCCAGCAGCCGCGGUAAUACGUAGGGUGCAAGCGUUAAUCGGAAUUACUGGGCGUAAAGGGUACGGAGGGGGCUAGGAAAGAAAGAUGUGAAAUGCCAGGGCUCAAACCUGGAACUGCAUUUUUAACUACCUGGCUAGAGUAUGUCAGAGGGGGGUAGAAUUCCACGUGUAGCAGUGAAAUGCGUAGGGAUGUGGAGGAAUACCGAUGGCGAAGGCAGCCCACUGGGAUAAUACUGACGAUCAGGUACGAAAGCGUGGGGAGCAAACC